UACGGAAGGCAGCAGUGGGGAAUAUUGCACAAUGGGCGCAAGCCUGAUGCAGCCAUGCCGCGUGUAUGAAGAAGGCCUUCGGGUUGUAAAGUACUUUCAGUCGUGAGGAAGGUGUUAAGGUUAAUAACCUUAGCAAUUGACGUUAGCGACAGAAGAAGCACCGGCUAACUCCGUGCCAGCAGCCGCGGUAAUACGGAGGGUGCGAGCGUUAAUCGGAAUUACUGGGCGUAAAGGGCACGCAGGCGGUUAAUUAAGUUGGAUGUGAAAUCCCCGGGCUUAACCUGGGAAUGGCAUUCAAGCUGGUUAGCUAGAGUCUUGUAGAGGGGGUAGAAUUCCAUGUGUAGCGGUGAAAUGCGUAGAGAUGUGGAGGAAUACCGGUGGCGAAGGCGGCCCCUGGACAAAGGACUGACGCUCAUGUGCGAAAGCGUGGGGAGCAAACAGGGAUUAGAUACCC
rnacentral:rRNA from 1 species